rnacentral:rRNA from 1 species
GACGAACGCUGGCGGCGUGCUUAACACAUGCAAGUCGAACGGAAAGGCCAGUGCUUGCACUGGUACUCGAGUGGCGAACGGGUGAGUAACACGUGGGUGAUCUGCCUUGCACUCUGGGAUAAGCUUGGGAAACUGGGUCUAAUACCGGAUAUGAACUGCCUUUAGUGUGGUGGUUGGAAAGUUUUUUCGGUGCAAGAUGAGCUCGCGGCCUAUCAGCUUGUUGGUGGGGUAUUGGCCUACCAAGGCGUCGACGGGUAGCCGGCCUGAGAGGGUGUACGGCCACAUUGGGACUGAGAUACGGCCCAGACUCCUACGGGAGGCAGCAGUGGGGAAUAUUGCACAAUGGGCGGAAGCCUGAUGCAGCGACGCCGCGUGGGGGAUGACGGCCUUCGGGUUGUAAACUCCUUUCGACAGGGACGAAGCGUAAGUGACGGUACCGGUAUAAGAAGCACCGGCUAACUACGUG